CCGAGUUUACAACUCCCAAACCCAAUGUGAACGUUACCAAACUGUUGCCUCGGCGGGAUCUCUGCCCCGGGUGCGUCGCAGCCCCGGACCAAGGCGCCCGCCGGAGGACCAACCAAAACUCUUAUUGUAUACCCCCUCGCGGGUUUUUUACUAUCUGAGCCAUCUCGGCGCCCCUCGUGGGCGUUUCGAAAAUGAAUCAAAACUUUCAACAACGGAUCUCUUGGUUCUGGCAUCGAUGAAGAACGCAGCGAAAUGCGAUAAGUAAUGUGAAUUGCAGAAUUCAGUGAAUCAUCGAAUCUUUGAACGCACAUUGCGCCCGCCAGUAUUCUGGCGGGCAUGCCUGUCCGAGCGUCAUUUCAACCCUCGAACCCCUCCGGGGGGUCGGCGUUGGGGAUCGGCCCUUUACGGGGCCGGCCCCGAAAUACAGUGGCGGUCUCGCCGCAGCCUCUCCUGCGCAGUAGUUUGCACACUCGCAUCGGGAGCGCGGCGCGUCCACAGCCGUUAAACACCCCAAACUUCUGAAAUGUUGACCUCGGAUCAGGUAGGAAUACCCGCUGAACUUAAGCAUAC
rnacentral:rRNA from 1 species